rnacentral:snoRNA from 1 species
UGCAGCCCUGUCCAAUUCGAUCCCUGGGGGGGCCCGCCCACCCGGCUGCCACAGCAGCUUCCGUAGUCCGUGAGCCCCUCGUCCCUUUCCUGUGGGACGCUGGAGGAUAAAAUUACGCCACGGACACAU